rnacentral:rRNA from 1 species
GAUCCUGGCUCAGGAUGAACGCUAGCGGCAGGCUUAACACAUGCAAGUCGAGGGGUAACGGGGAAGCUUGCUUCCGCCGACGACCGGCGCACGGGUGCGUAACGCGUAUACAAUCUACCUUGUACUGGGGUAUAGCCUUUAGAAAUGAAGAUUAAUCCCCCAUAGUCUCUUAGAGUGGCAUCACUUCUAGAGUAAAGGUUACGGUAUAAGAUGAGUAUGCGUUCUAUUAGUUUGUUGGUGUGGUAACGGCACACCAAGACUACGAUAGAUAGGGGCCCUGAGAGGGGGAUCCCCCACACUGGUACUGAGACACGGACCAGACUCCUACGGGAGGCAGCAGUGAGGAAUAUUGAACAAUGGAGGCAACUCUGAUCCAGCCAUGCCGCGUGCAGGAAGACUGCCCUAUGGGUUGUAAACUGCUUUUAUACAGGAAGAAACACCUCUACGUGUAGAGGCUUGACGGUACUGUAAGAAUAAGGAUCGGCUAACUCCGUGCCAGCAGCCGCGGUAAUACGGAGGAUCCAAGCGUUAUCCGGAAUCAUUGGGUUUAAAGGGUCCGUAGGUGGAUAACUAAGUCAGAGGUGAAAUCUUGCAGCUCAACUGUAAAAUUGCCUUUGAAACUGGUUAUCUUGAGUUAUUAUGAAGUAGUUAGAAUAUGUAGUGUAGCGGUGAAAUGCAUAGAUGUUACAUAGAAUACCAAUUGCGAAGGCAGAUUACUAAUAAUUAACUGACACUGAUGGACGAAAGCGUGGGUAGCGAACAGGAUUAGAUACCCUGGUAGUCCACGCCGUAAACGAUGGUUACUAGCUGUUUGGACUUCGGUCUGAGUGGCUAAGCGAAAGUGAUAAGUAACCCACCUGGGGAGUACGUUCGCAAGAAUGAAACUCAAAGGAAUUGACGGGGGCCCGCACAAGCGGUGGAGCAUGUGGUUUAAUUCGAUGAUACGCGAGGAACCUUACCAGGGCUUAAAUGUAAGUUGCAUUAGCUAGAGAUAGCUAUUUCUUCGGACCACUUACAAGGUGCUGCAUGGUUGUCGUCAGCUCGUGCCGUGUGGUGUCAGGUUAAGUCCUAUAACGAGCGCAACCCCUGUUGUUAGUUGCCAGCGAGUCAUGUCGGGAACUCUAACAAGACUGCCAGUGCAAACUGUGAGGAAGGUGGGGAUGACGUCAAAUCAUCACGGCCCUUACGUCCUGGGCUACACACGUGCUACAAUGGUAGGUACAGAGAGCAGCCACUGCGCGAGCAGGAGCGAAUCUAUAAAACCUAUCACAGUUCGGAUCGGAGUCUGCAACUCGACUCCGUGAAGCUGGAAUCGCUAGUAAUCGGAUAUCAGCCAUGAUCCGGUGAAUACGUUCCCGGGCCUUGUACACACCGCCCGUCAAGCCAUGGAAGUUGGAAGUGCCUGAAGUCCGUCACCGCAAGGAGCGGCCUAGGGUAAAGUCGAUAACUAGGGCUAAGUCGUAACAAGGUA